rnacentral:rRNA from 2 species
UAGGGAAUCUUCGGCAAUGGACGAAAGUCUGACCGAGCAACGCCGCGUGAGUGAAGAAGGUUUUCGGAUCGUAAAACUCUGUUGUUAGAGAAGAACAAGGACGUUAGUAACUGAACGUCCCCUGACGGUAUCUAACCAGAAAGCCACGGCUAACUACGUGCCAGCAGCCGCGGUAAUACGUAGGUGGCAAGCGUUGUCCGGAUUUAUUGGGCGUAAAGCGAGCGCAGGCGGUUUCUUAAGUCUGAUGUGAAAGCCCCCGGCUCAACCGGGGAGGGUCAUUGGAAACUGGGAGACUUGAGUGCAGAAGAGGAGAGUGGAAUUCCAUGUGUAGCGCUGAAAUGCGUAGAUAUAUGGAGGAACACCAGUGGCGAAGGCGGCUCUCUGGUCUGUAACUGACGCUGAGGCUCGAAAGCGUGGGGAGCAAACAGG